rnacentral:lncRNA from 1 species
GGUGACAGGGAGGGUAAAUCUCCUGAAACUGGGGGCAAGGUAAAGAUGGGAACCACAGAGAACCAGGGGUUCUUUGGAGGACUGGGUUUGGGAGAAGACUAUUUCAGCUCAGAGCCCACAACCCAGGUCAAUGGCCUGGUCUUACCCUGGUCUCUAUGCUGGGCCCACAGAUUGACCAGAAGCUUCUGGAGCAGAUAGAAACAGAAGGCUUAAGGUCCAAGACCAUGGAAAAGAGAAGUAGACGAGUCCCAUCCCUCCAGAAGAGGCCCCCAGAAGGCCUGGGGUCAGGAACAAAACUGGCUGACAGGACAAACCUACAGAAGAGGAUCGCCUUCCAGCCUUGGACUCCUUCCACCACCAUCUUCUCCCCAUUGCAAACAGUCAAGCAGAACAUCCCCCUGCAACACUGGGAGUCAAGUGGGGAACAACCCUUGGGGACAAGGGACACCAAUCCUGCUUCCUUCCUAUCCCCUGGAACCAUAUUAGGUCCAAAGGAUCCCCCUACCCUGGAGGGGUUAAAAAAUCUGAAGGAAAAACAAGAGUUUCUACCUUCAGGGAGGCAGCUGGCUGGGAGUCCCUGGAAGAAGUACGAUGGGGCGUUACAGUGGGACCUCUUGAGGCUGAACCCAGACAAGAGAAAAAUACCUGAGGAUGUCGCUUCCCCAGCCCCCCACAACCUCGCAGGAGCCCAGUGCAGAAAGCUGAGUGGCUGCCUUGAACGGGAGGCCACUUUCUACCGGAGUAACAGCUCUGAAAUCCUGCGCCCAACAUCACCAGAAGGACAGACUCGUCUCUCUUGGCAAGUCCCAAGCAGCGGUGCCGCACUUCCUGAGGCCCAAAGAUUAAGCCUAGAACCCAGAGCCAGACCUCUCAGCUCCUUGAGUGGGAACCCUGCUGAGAAACUGCCUAACAAGAUCAUCCUACCCAGAUGGACACCUUCCUUUAAGCUCCAGAGGAAGACUGGACCUUUGGAGAGAACUACACAAGGCUUCAUGCGGCCUCCAGCUCCUGGCCACGUCACUGGACCUGGGACUGCGGAUGAGACAGCGAGGGCUCCCAACCUCAGCACGGAGGAAAAGGAGAAGCUCUAG